UAGAAACACCUGCAGUUGGAGGCUCCCACUGAGAAGAAAGAAAACGGCAAGUUAAUCCUAAACCGGCAACUGAGGUUCUCUCGUUGGGACUGACUAGACAGCGCAACAUAUGGACAGCGGAGAAAAAGCAGAGCGAGUUAUGGCCCACCAGGGAGCAGCAUGGGGCAAGGGGAGCUCCCAUCCCCAGUCAAGGGUGUGUGCUGUUUUCGAAAAAUGGCAGUCAGAGCUCCUGCAGAGGCCUCUCUUAAGGGUCCCUGGCAAAAGGGGCCAUUGUUCCAGGCUCCAGUUGCAUGACCGUUUGGAGUUUGAUGACCUCAAGGCAAGAACAGAAGACAAACCAG
rnacentral:lncRNA from 10 species